rnacentral:rRNA from 1 species
UUCUUACGGGAGGCAGCAGUGGGGAAUAUUGGACAAUGGGGGAAACCUUGAUCCAGCCAUGCGGCGUGUGUGAAGAAGGUUUUCGGAUUAAAAGCACUUUAAGUUGGGAGGAAGGGCAGUAAGUUAUUACCUUGGAGAGUGACGUACUGACAGAAUAGCC